UCAGGUAGCAUCAAUACCGGUAAAGUCGCCUACCAGUGCGGAAGUGUGGGUGUGGGCAAGGUAUGUGCACUGGUGUUGCUGUCUGGCUUAGGAUUGCUGUUUGUGAUUAUGAAGACUACAGACUCGUUGGUGUCGAAUGGUUACUUGCUUGAUGCAACAAUGUGAGACUUUAUCCGGGAACUGGCAGUGUUUCCGUCAAAGCUACUCGGAUCUUGCGUCCCCGGCUCCUGCGGUACAGCGAGGGGGAGCCGCCACCACCACCACUACCACCACCACCACUACCACCUCGUCGAGUACUCCAAUAAACAAAUGCUAAUCGCGCGGAGGGGACGAAGGCUGCGACGGGGGUGCGUCCACAACUAUAUACACAUAACCCACCACCAGAUCGUUCGCGGCGUCAGUUUCCCUCGUAUUCAUAUUAUCAUACAAAAUGGUGCUUGUGUUCCCAGGAGGCGGCCAAUACUACUGAAUCAGAGGCUUGUCAGGAGCGUGGACAAGCAAGCGUGUCACUGGCGUGGUUUACUGGGCUGAGGAAUGGAAGAAAGGGGCUGAGAGGGGCUGAGAGGGACUGAGAGGGACAGAGCUGGAUGAUAGGGAGGUUCGGGCCGGGAUGGUGACAAUAUUUCAGCAGCAGAACAUGCAUGAACACCAGGUGGUGAUGGUGGUUCAGCGUCAACACAGUGCUGGUGCAGUGGUGCUUGUUCAGUUCAUUCCUCAGUUCAGUUCAGUCCUCGGUGCCUCAGAUAAUGUUUACGUUAUGGUUGUUUUCGCAGGUAAUUUAAAUUGUUGUUACUCAUUGAAUUAAGGAAUAAAUUUGAUAAGUAUCCUUGUUA